CACCAAACUGGCCUUUCCCGUCAUCAAGGGAGUGCUUGGCCAGGCUGCACGCCAUCUCGGCGGUCUCGGUUCCCAUUUUUGGUGGAAAUCUCACGUUUCCAUCCGUAGCUGGUUGGUAGGCGGCUCGGAGGAAUAAGAACCUUGACACCUGUGCUGCCGAAGUUGCAGAAGUCCAAAGCCCCAGGCCUGGCUACCGCGUUUCCAUACGGUCUGUCCAGCCUUGUGCUUGCUGUGUGGUGAGGGAGAAUGACCUUGAACUCCACGGCCCUGAGGAUAAGGACAAGUGAAUACAUAAAGUUUGGAAGUUCC